GUCUACUUUGCUCAUGGUUUCUGGGGACUCAGCCCAUGGUCACAUGACUCCAUGUGCUUGAGCAGAAUAUCAUGGUAAUAGAAGUGUGUAGUGAAAGAACGUCUUCAUGUUAUGGUAGACAGGAAGUAGGGGUAAGGAGGAAGAGAACAGAUACACCCCCGAGGACACAGCCCUAUCAACCUACUCCCUCCAGCUGACUUCAGCUCCUAAAGUUUCUAGAACUUUCCAAAAUGGCACCACUGACUGGAGAACAAGCCUCUAACAUAUGAGCCUCUGAGGAGGACACUGGUAUCCAAAUCUUAACACCUCCUCUCAUUAUGCCUGGCUGCUAAACAGUCUCAGAUUCUCUUUCUUCUGCUACCACCAAGGUAGCAGUCAAGAAAAUCUGAGCCUCUGAACUACUUCUUCCCUAUCUCAGGCCCUUCCAGGAUCAUCCACACUCUCAGCCCACAGGAGCCAGUGCAGCUCAGGAGAACUUGUGCCCAUUACUGCUUCACUACAGAGGCUGUCUCAGAAGCCAGAACCUCGGGUCCCUCAGUCAUCAGUCUCAGGUCGGAGAGCUUUCAAUCACUCGACUGCUUCUUGAGGUGACAGCUCAGAUUGCUAGCAAGAGAGCAACAUGUUUUGGAGGUGAUAUGUCGUUUCUCAUGUUUGGUCUGUUUUACUUCAGCUCCAGAAUACCCUUUUGGCCUCCGAUCAAGACUGUAUUGAUUGUACAAGUUCACUGUCUGACUCAGACCACAUCAACCAUGGCUUCCCAACACCUGUCCUCCACACAGGUGAAGACAACACUCACGGGCCCAUCCAUGCUUGGGCUUCUCCUAUCAGUUUUGGCCCAGGAUCUGGAGAAGCAUCAUGCUUUCUGAUGUAGACUUCUUCCCCGGCAGCUGCUGUGUGGGGCGAAAUCAAUGCAGAAAUACAUUGAUCAGACCUGGCUUGCCGGUGGUGAGCUUCCCCUGUGUUCCUUUCCUGGGAUUUUCUUUGAACCUAUGUACUCCUCUUUACCCUGGAGCCCCCACCCUAGAGUGAUCAAGCAACCCACUGUCUAUCACAGAGGAGCUUGGGCCAGCUUGGUCUUGUUCCAGCUGUUGAUAGUCCUUCCUCUCUAGUCCACGGUGAACUUCUACAGUAUGGAGGAUAUAUGAUUGAAAAUCCCGCUUGGCCCGAGUGCAGACCACCGACUUGGAAAGCAGAUGGGCUUGCAUGAAGAAGGGAUUCAUUAUCACGGUGGCCGUUGUGAUUGUCACCACCACAAACACAUUCUCAGGGCCGAGCACAAGCACUUCUAAACAAGGGUUCAGCUCAUCCCGAUGGCACACUGAGGUCAUUCGUAGAUGAGGAAACUAAGGUUCAGGGUCAUUAUGUACCCCCAAAUCGUAUGACUAGGAAAGGCAGAGGUGGGGCUUGAACUCAGGCACUCUGGUUCCAAAGCCCAGGAUAUAACAAUUCCAGUUUAAAAGUCUCUCCUCCUCUCAUCUGAGCGUCAGCUGCAGAGACAUGAAUAAGCG
rnacentral:lncRNA from 1 species